rnacentral:rRNA from 1 species
GGGCCCGCACAAGCGGUGGAGCAUGUGGUUUAAUUCGAUGAUACGCGAGGAACCUUACCAGGGUUUAAAUGUAGGACGACCGUUCUGGAAACAGGACUUUCUUCGGACGGACUACAAGGUGCUGCAUGGUUGUCGUCAGCUCGUGCUGUGAAGUGUCGGGUUAAGUCCCAUAACGAGCGCAACCCCUAUCUUUAGUUGCCAGCGGUUCGGCCGGGGACUCUAACGGAACUGCCGGUGCAAACCGUGAGGAAGGUGGGGACGACGUCAAAUCAUCACGGCCUUACGUCCUGGGCCACACACGUGCUACAAUGGUAGGUACAGAGGGAAGCCACCCCGCGAGGGGGAGCGGA